rnacentral:rRNA from 1 species
UCGAGGAUCUUCGGCAAUGAGCGCAAGCUUGACCGAGCGACGCCGCGUGUGCGACGAAGGCCUUCGGGUUGUAAAGCACUGUCGAGGGGGAGGAAAGCCCGAAAGGGUCUGACCUAUCCCUGGAGGAAGCACGGGCUAAGUUCGUGCCAGCAGCCGCGGUAAGACGAACCGUGCGAACGUUGUUCGGAAUCACUGGGCUUAAAGGGCGCGUAGGCGGGCAUUAAAGUCAGGGGUGAAAUCCCCCAGCUUAACUGGGGAACUGCCUUUGAUACUGAAUGCCUCGAGUAAGGUAGGGGCAUGCGGAACUGAUGGUGGAGCGGUGAAAUGUGUUGAUAUCAUCAGGAACUCCGGUGGCGAAGGCGGCAUGCUGGACCUUCACUGACGCUGAGGCGCGAAAGCUAGGGGAGCGAACGGGAUUAGAUACCCCCGUAGUCC